rnacentral:rRNA from 1 species
UACGUAGGGGGCAAGCGUUGUCCGGAUUUAUUGGGCGUAAAGAGCGUGUAGGCGGCGCGGUAUGUCUCUUGUGAAAUCUCCAGGCUCAACUUGGAGUCUGCAAGGGAAACUGCCGUGCUUGAGUACUGGAGAGGUGAGUGGAAUUCCCGGUGUAGCGGUGAAAUGCGUAGAUAUCAGGAAGAACACCCGUGGCGAAGGCGGCUCACUGGCCCGGUACUGACGCUGAGGUGCGAAAGCGUGGGGAGCAAACAGG